UGGUGGAUUGAUUUGUCUUCUUAAUUGAGAUAACGAACGAGACUCUGUCCUGCUAAAUAGACCCUACCUAACUCUUGUGGCAACGCAAGGCCGGGUAAAAACUUGUCGGGUUUCUUCUUGGAGGGACUGGCGAUGAUUAGUCGCACGAGAUUGAGCAAUAACA
rnacentral:rRNA from 1 species